rnacentral:tRNA from 1 species
GAUGGCCGAGUGGUCUAAGGCGCCAGUCUCAAGUUCUGGUCUUCGAGAGAGGGCGUGGGUUCAAAUCCCACUC